GAAGAUUGAUAACCAACUGAAAAAAUUGGAAUAUGUGUAGGAUAGGUGGGAGGCUUUGAAGUGUGGACGCCAGUCUGCAUGGAGCCGACCUUGAAAUACCACCCUUUAAUGUUUGAUGUUCUAACGUGGACCCGUUACCCGGGUUGCGGACAGUGUCUG
rnacentral:rRNA from 1 species